rnacentral:lncRNA from 1 species
AAUAAUCGCCUGGUCGCCGUCAGGUGCCGGCCCAGGUGGCAGGCGCGCCCGUUGGGCACUGGGGGACGCGGGCGCGUCAGGUGAAGACUGGGGGCUGCAGGCGCGCUAGGAGAACUAUGCCAUUUUUGGGUCAGGACUGGAGAUCUCCUGGAUGGAGUUGGAUUAAGACAGAAGAUGGCUGGAAGAAUUGUGAAUCUUGUAGUCAGAAACUUGAAAGAGAGAAUAACCAUUGUAACAUCAGUCACAGCAUUAUCUUAAAUAGCGAAGAUGGAGAAAUACUCAAUAAUGAAGAGCAUGAAUAUGCAUCCAAAAAAAGAAAAAGGACCAUUUUAGAAAUGACACAAAUACUCAAAAGGCAUGGCUAUUGCACCUUGGGAGAAACCUUUAAUCGGUUAGACUUCUCAAGUGCAAUUCAAGAUACCCGAAGGUUCAAUUAUGUGGUCAAACUGCAGGACAAAUUCGAGCAUCUUAAAAUGAUUCAACAGGAGGAGAUAAGGAAGCUCGAGGAAGAGAAAAAACAACUGGAAGGAGAAAUCAUAGAUUUUUAUAAAAUGAAAGCUGCCUC